GAUAUAACUCAACUGGUAGAGAAUGAGACCCUUAAUCUCAGGGUUGUGGGUUCCAGCCCCAUGUUGGGCA